rnacentral:rRNA from 1 species
GGUCAACGCUGGCGGCGUGCUUAACACAUGCAAGUCGAACGAAGUUUUUCCUUCGGGAGUAACUUAGUGGCGGACGGGUGAGUAACGCGUGGGUAACCUGCCCUGUACAGGUGGACAACAGCUGGAAACGGCUGCUAAUACCGCAUAAGCACUUAGCACUGCAUGGUGCAUAGGGAAAAGGAGCAAUCCGGUACAGGAUGGACCCGCGUCUGAUUAGCCAGUUGGCAGGGUAACGGCCUACCAAAGCGACGAUCAGUAGCCGAUCUGAGAGGAUGUACGGCCACAUUGGGACUGAGACACGGCCCAGACUCCUACGGGAGGCAGCAGUGGGGAAUAUUGCACAAUGGAGGAAACUCUGAUGCAGCGACGCCGCGUGAGUGAAGAAGUAUUUCGGUAUGUAAAGCUCUAUCAGCAGGGAAGAAAAUGACGGUACCUUACUAAGAAGCACCGGCUAAAUACGUG